UUCUGAUUUUUCCGAAAUCUUGAAUUCUUUGAUCUUUGUCAAUUCGCUUCGAUUCUUCAAGACUCCGACUAACUUCACGAAACUUGCCAAUACAAAAUCCUUAACAAUCUCCCCCUUUGGCAAUUUCGUGACAAAACUCACACAAACUCAAAAAUUACAAAUAAACGAAGUUCAAUUGUCAUCACCAAAACAUUGAACUUCUCGCGUGUAAUCCAAAUACAAUUUGAAACUCAAAAUUACAUCAAAACUCCUAAAACAAACUCUAUGACUUAGACAACAACUAGGAGUCUUGAAGUCUUGAAAUCCUGCAAAACAAAUC
rnacentral:lncRNA from 1 species